rnacentral:sRNA from 1 species
AUUCCUGUAAUGGCUGCUUCCUAGAAGGUCGUGUCACGUGGAACCUCUUAAUCUCAGCAUCCGGAGCUCCAGGAAGGGAAAAUUUCAAGUCAGAUAGAAUUCUAUAUAUACCAUUUCUUUGGUAAGUCUUAUUAAUUCCCCACAACUUCGCAGAGUUAUAUGUUGUGUGACUUUUGCCAAAUUUGUCUGCAUUUCCUGGAUGGGAGAGACCCUAAGAAAAUGUACAAUUUUUACCCACUAGGAUAUUUUAAGUUUCCAAGUUAGUGGCUCGUGCUUUUUUUCUGUUUGUUCUUAAUUAUGAACUCCUGUUCAAUUUUUGUUUGGUUGAUGCACGAGGUGUUGGCAUUAUCGUGGAAAAUUCCUGGGUUUAGAGUGUUAUCAUGAGAUAGGGAGAUGAACCUCAAAUUACUGUCUUUAACGUCCCUCUGUUUUUCCACCUAUAAGAUGAGGAGAUGGAUUGGAAAUGAUUCAUAAAGUAUCCAAAAGAUUGGCUGGCCUGUUAUUUGUCAUGUGUUCAUUUUGUCAUUUGAAAAGGGAGGAAUUUUUAAUGGUUCCUUUUUGUUUCCAUGUUUAAUUUCUAGGAACCUUCAGCCCUCAAGAUUCCAACAUCAUGACCUCAGUUUCAACACAGUUGUCCUUAGUCCUCAUGUCACUGCUUUUGGUGCUGCCUGUUGUGGAAGCAGUAGAAGCCGGUGAUGCAAUCGCC